ensembl:lncRNA
CCUACACACAUUUCCCCCAAGCCCAUAUGCUAGCAUCACUCCUAGCCCUUAUGCAACUUCCAGUCCAGCCAGCCCGUAUGCUGUCAUGCCUCCCAGCCCCUAUGUUGCUUCCCCUGCCACCUCCAGUCCAGCCGGCCUCCCUGACCCCUAUCCUGCCCCCCAGAGCCAGACCCCUAGACCCAACUCCACUACCCAGCCUGUCCCUGUCUACCCUGGGGCUAGCCAGCCCACCAGUCCUGAGGUACAGCCAUAUCCAGCCAGCCUCCCUGACCCCUAUCCUUCCACCCAGGCCAAGACCGCAGGUAAAGACGGGGUUCCUCAUCAGAAGUCUCCAGCCGUCCCCAUCAACAAGGAACCUGCCAGGAAGUUUGCCCCGGUGGUGACCAGUCCUGCUCCCCCUGCUGCUGAGGUGGUGAAGUCAUCAGUGUUGCCUCAGGUAGACAUUGUACCCAGCAGUAACAUCAAGGAUAUCAUCAGACAGUACGACUCUCCUCCGCCCGUGACUGAUGCCCUACCGCCCGGCAAGAGGAGACCAGAGGGGAAGUUUAUGAAGAUGCAGAAUCCUCGUGAUGAA